rnacentral:rRNA from 1 species
UACGGGAGGCAGCAGUGAGGAAUAUUGGUCAAUGGACGCAAGUCUGAACCAGCCAUGCCGCGUGCAGGAUGACGGCUCUAUGAGUUGUAAACUGCUUUUGUACGAGGGUAAACGCAGAUACGUGUAUCUGUCUGAAAGUAUCGUACGAAUAAGGAUCGGCUAACUCCGUGCCAGCAGCCGCGGUAAUACGGAGGAUUCAAGCGUUAUCCGGAUUUAUUGGGUUUAAAGGGUGCGUAGGCGGUUUGAUAAGUUAGAGGUGAAAUUUCGGGGCUCAACCCUGAACGUGCCUCUAAUACUGUUGAGCUAGAGAGUAGUUGCGGUAGGCGGAAUGUAUGGUGUAGCGGUGAAAUGCUUAGAGAUCAUACAGAACACCGAUUGCGAAGGCAGCUUACCAAACUAUAUCUGACGUUGAGGCACGAAAGCGUGGGGAGCAAACAGGAUUAGAUACCCUGGUAGUCCACGCAGUAAACGAUGAUAACUCGUUGUCGGCGAUACACAGUCGGUGACUAAGCGAAAGCGAUA